GAUGAACGCUAGCUACAGGCUUAACACAUGCAAGUCGAGGGGCAGCAUGAACUUAGCUUGCUAAGUUUGAUGGCGACCGGCGCACGGGUGAGUAACACGUAUCCAACCUUCCGUUUACUCAGGGAUAGCCUUUCGAAAGAAAGAUUAAUACCUGAUAGUAUGGUGAGAUUGCAUGAUAGCACCAUUAAAGAUUUAUUGGUAAACGAUGGGGAUGCGUUCCAUUAGGUAGUAGGCGGGGUAACGGCCCACCUAGCCGACGAUGGAUAGGGGUUCUGAGAGGAAGGUCCCCCACAUUGGAACUGAGACACGGUCCAAACUCCUACGGGAGGCAGCAGUGAGGAAUAUUGGUCAAUGGGCGAGAGCCUGAACCAGCCAAGUAGCGUGAAGGAUGAAGGUCCUACGGAUUGUAAACUUCUUUUAAUACGGGAAUAAAGUAUCCUACGUGUAGGAUUUUUGAUGUACCGUAUGAAUAAGGAUCGGNUAACUCCGUGCCAG
rnacentral:rRNA from 1 species